CCUCCGUGUGGCAGCAGUGAGGAAUCUUGGUCAAUGGGCGCGAGCCUGAACCAGCCAAGUAGCGUGAAGGAUGACUGCCCUACGGGUUGUAAACUUCUUUUAUAAAGGAAUAAAGUGAGGCACGUGUGCCUUUUUGUAUGUCCUUUAUGAAUAAGGAUCGGCUAACUCCGUGCCAGCAGCCGCGGUACUACGGAGGAACCGAGCGUUAUACGGAUUUAUUGGGUUUAAAGGGAGCGUAGAUGGGUUGUUAAGUCAGUUGUUAAAGUUUGCGGCGCAACCGUAAAAUUGCAAUUGAUACUGGCAGCCUUGAGUACAGUUGAGGUAGGCGGAAUGCGUGGUGUAGCGGUGAAAUGCUUAGAUAUCACGAAGAACUCCGAUUGCGAAGGCAGCUUACUAAACUGCCACUGACAUUGAUGCUCGAAAGUGUGGGUAUCAAACAGGAUUAGAUACCCCAGUAGUC
rnacentral:rRNA from 1 species